GAUUGAACGCUGGCGGCAUGCCUUCCACAUGCAAGUCGAACGGCAGCACGGGUGCUUGCACCUGGUGGCGAGUGGCGAACGGGUGAGUAAUACAUCGGAACAUGUCCUGUAGUGGGGGAUAGCCCGGCGAAAGCCGGAUUAAUACCGCAUACGAUCUACGGAUGAAAGCGGGGGACCUUCGGGCCUCGCGCUAUAGGGUUGGCCGAUGGCUGAUUAGCUAGUUGGUGGGGUAAAGGCCUACCAAGGCGACGAUCAGUAGCUGGUCUGAGAGGACGACCAGCCACACUGGGACUGAGACACGGCCCAGACUCCUACGGGAGGCAGCAGUGGGGAAUUUUGGACAAUGGGCGAAAGCCUGAUCCAGCAAUGCCGCGUGUGUGAAGAAGGCCUUCGGGUUGUAAAGCACUUUUGUCCGGAAAGAAAUCCUUGGCCCUAAUACGGUCGGGGGAUGACGGUACCGGAAGAAUAAGCACCGGCUAACUACGUG
rnacentral:rRNA from 1 species